rnacentral:rRNA from 1 species
GACGAACGCUGGCGGCGUGCCUAACACAUGCAAGUCGAGCGGUAAGGCUCUCACAGUUUAUUCGACCAAGCCAGGUCGUGAAAUUUCUUUAGAAAUUUCACAUCAUUUACGAAGUAGGAACGACAAAGUCGUCACCGAUUGGGCAGAAGCAAUUAUAUUGCUACAACCUAAGAAGUAACGAUUGGCUAAUCGUUCUCGAAAAGUAAGGAAUGGUCUGGCAUUAAGGCUUCAGAAAUGAGGCUUGUGUCGAAUAAAGCGUGAGAGUACACGAGCGGCGGACGGCUGAGUAACGCGUAGGAACGUACCCCAAAGUGAGGGAUAAGCACCAGAAAUGGUGUCUAAUACCGCAAUGUGAUCUUCGGAUUUAAAGCUUUAUGCGCUUUUGGGAACGGCCUGCGUCUGAUUUAGUUGUUGGGUGAGGUAAUGGCUCACCAAGACUACGAUCGGGUAGGGGGCGUGAGUAGCGUGAACCCCCACACCGGGUACUGAGACACGGACCCCGACUCCCGUAGGGAGC